GCGCUUCCCAGCCUCUUAUUCUGUAUUUUCUCUGCUCCCCACUUUUUGCGUUCUUUUUAUUGCAAUUUCCAUUUGCCCUUCGUUUCUGUGUUAGAACUGCACGCCUUCCCACCUUCUUCGGAGCAAUUAUGCGCUGGAAGCUCAGAGGUCUUGCUGGGGUUUUGUAACCGGCAUCCCAUCGGCUGCUCACGCUUUGGCCUAUAAGUAGUCAGCUGAUUAGCAAUGACUCGGAAUCACAGAAUAAUUCUGCAGGGCUGAAAAAGAUAUGGCAUUUGUUUAUCUUUCCGACUUGAAGGGCGAUGAGGAAGACUGGGUUAUAAGAGUGCGCGUUUGCAGGAUGUGGGAGUCUAUCAGUACAAAGGAUGGAAGUUUGAUAAGCGUGGAUAUGAUACUAGCCGAUGAAAAGUUUUUUGACAUAUGCUCUUUAGAAAUUAUGGACAAUCGCAACAAGCCAGGGACAUGGGAUAAUCCUGAUUACAUACAUAGAGCAGCGGUGAUGCUUACUUGGAAGCUUUAAAGGAUAGGGUUUGAUAUGAAUUGCAUUGGUUAGGUUUUAUCCCUAAAGAUUUUUUUUUUUGGCCUACCACUUCCUUCAUGUAUAUUUCACGGUUAUUGUAAAAAGGGUCAUUUGUUCUGGUCCGAACUUCUGACCUCCUGAACUCGAAAUUGAAAUUUUAUUUGGCCUCUAAUUUUUUGAGAA